UACGUAGGGGGCAAGCGUUAUCCGGAUUUACUGGGUGUAAAGGGAGCGUAGACGGCAGAGCAAGUCUGAAGUGAAAGCCUGCGGCCCAACUUCGGGACUGCUUUGGAAACUGCCCGGCUAGAGUGCUGGAGAGGUAAGCGGAAUUCCUAGUGUAGCGGUGAAAUGCGUAGAUAUUAGGAGGAACACCAGUGGCGAAGGCGGCUUACUGGACAGUAACUGACGUUGAGGCUCGAAAGCGUGGGGAGCAAACAGG
rnacentral:rRNA from 1 species